rnacentral:rRNA from 1 species
AGAUGGCGACCGGCGCACGGGUGAGUAACACGUAUCCAACCUGCCGAUAACUCGGGGAUAGCCUUCGAAAGAAAGAUUAAUACCCGAUGGUAUAAUCAGACCGCAUGGUUUGAUUAUUAAAGAAUUUCGGUUAUCGAUGGGGAUGCGUUCCAUUAGGCAGUUGGUGAGGUAACGGCUCACCAAACCUUCGAUGGAUAGGGGUUCUGAGAGGAAGGUCCCCCACAUUGGAACUGAGGCACGGUCCAA